GGCCGCCGCCGGCCCUUCGCGCUCUCCUCCGGGCGCGGUGCCCGCCCCGCCUGCCUCCGAGGCUCUGCGCCCCGCAGCCUCGGCUCCCCCCAGAGAAGCGUGGCGGGAGUGGAGUGCUAGGAGGCUGGGGCUUGUGGGUUCCUCCGUCCCCUCCCCUGCGCGGUGAAGGCACGCGGCCGUGGGGUCCAGGACGAGCAUCUGCAGAGGAGCGGGAUCUGGAAGGCUCGGACCAGCUCUGAAAGCCCCAGGACCUAAAGAAAAGUUAACACUCACCAUGAUGACACAGCUACUAGAACGUGUGCGUUUGAAAACAACAACGAGCACAGAAAAAUGAUUAGAGGAAUUCAACCUGCGUUUUGGCAGCAACCAAACAAUGACUACAUCUCCGUUUUUGAGAGUUAUGUGUACGGAGCAGCCAAAAUACAGUUCUCCGUUGGAACCUGCUUUUCAUUAGCUGUGGAGCUUUAUUGCUUUCUGAUUUGGUUGAAUUAGAUUCGGUUGAACAAAUACGUGUUUGGACACCAACUGGACAAAUGCAGAAUGAGGGGCUGUGGGAAAACUGAGCGGAUCAGAUGUGUCUGCUGCCCUCAAAGCUGUUCCAAUCCAGUAGGAUGAUGAGACAAGAAGCUGCCUGAUAACCGGAAGAAGAGGGGAGAGGCACGAGAAGACCCAAUCUUAGGGUGCCAGGGGGAAGUUCAGAGGAGACAGGGGGCAUAGUUGACAGGGAAGCAGAAAAAGCAUUAUGAGAAAGGUGGCAUCUCAGUGGACAAGCGUUUGUGAGCAAUUUGGGAGCAGCAACUGUGUGAUCAGCCUAGCGUCCCUAGUAACUGCCACACAGUAAGUGCUCAGUCAGUGUCUGAAGAAUUAAUUAAAUCUUGGGGCGCCUGGGUGGCUCAGAUGGUUAAGCGUC